rnacentral:rRNA from 1 species
ACCAGACUCCUACGGGAGGCAGCAGUGGGGAAUAUUGCACACUGGGGAAAACCCUGAUGCAGCGACGCCGCGUGGGUGAAGAAGCGCCUCGGCGCGUAAAGCCCUGUCAGCAGGGAAGAAAAUGACGGUACCUGAAGAAGAAGCCCCGGCUAACUACGUGCCAGCAGCCGCGGUAAUACGUAGGGGGCAAGCGUUAUCCGGAUUUACUGGGUGUAAAGGGGGCGCAGACGGCGAUGCAAGCCAGGAGUGAAAGCCCGGGGCCCAACCCCGGGACUGCUCUUGGAACUGCGUGGCUGGAGUGCAGGAGGGGCAGGCGGAAUUCCUGGUGUAGCGGUGAAAUGCGUAGAUAUCAGGAGGAACACCGGUGGCGAAGGCGGCCUGCUGGACUGCAACUGACGUUGAGGCCCGAAAGCGUGGGGAGCAAACAGGAUUAGAUACCCUCGUA